rnacentral:rRNA from 1 species
AACGAACGCUGGCGGCAGGCUUAACACAUGCAAGUCGAACGCCCCGCAAGGGGAGUGGCAGACGGGUGAGUAACGCGUGGGAAUCUACCUAGUUCUACGGAACAACUGAGGGAAACUUCAGCUAAUACCGUAUACGCCCUACGGGGGAAAGAUUUAUCGGAAUUAGAUGAGCCCGCGUUGGAUUAGCUAGUUGGUGAGGUAAUGGCUCACCAAGGCGACGAUCCAUAGCUGGUCUGAGAGGAUGAUCAGCCACACUGGGACUGAGACACGGCCCAGACUCCUACGGGAGGCAGCAGUGGGGAAUAUUGGACAAUGGGCGCAAGCCUGAUCCAGCCAUGCCGCGCGAGUGAUGAAGGCCUUAGGGUUGUAAAGCUCUUUCAGUGGGGAAGAUAAUGACGGUACCCACAGAAGAAGCCCCGGCUAACUUCGUGCCAGCCGCCGCGGUAACAC